AGGACUGGUGAAGGCCAGCUGGUGUUUGUGCGGGCAGUACUCUGGUCGUCUUGGAAAUGAGUCAGUAAGUGGAGGGCGCAGACCCUCCUCCCCGCACUGGCCGUAGUACCUGAGCGUUCCCGCGGCAAAUCCGCGAGCCGCAGCAGCUGUGCGCGUUUGGCCGAGCGCCGGCCCGACCGCGGAAUUACCGAGGACGAGCCAGCGCAGCUGGUGUUGCAUCUCAUUGGCGCUUCUGCCUGUGUUCCAUGUUUCACACCUCGCUGUUCUACAAAAACAUUGAGUUAUUUUCCAUGAGCAAUAGCGCGAGAACCGCUUUACUCCAUAAAGAAAGAACGACCGGCAAUAUUUCUGAGGUUUAACAAUUUCAAAGAAAAGAGAUUUGACUCCGGAUGCAAAUUUAACGCAUGUGUCAGCACCGGUUUCCCAAUCCUGGUAAAGUGGUCCCCUGUGGAUGCUGUUUUUUUUUUUUUUUGUUCCAAUCAUAAUUAUCAUCUUUAAGUAUAAGUUGUUCAUUUUUUUUGGCACUUUUGAUGUCUAAUUUAUCAUCUUAAUGUCACAUGUCAGAAACAGACAUUCCUGCUACAAAGAAUGCAUAUUUCAUAUUAAUGAAAAAACUUCACGACGAUCAUCUCUCAGGUAAUUAAUUCUUUAAUUUUCCGCAAUGUGCUGUGGUUGGAAAAUCGGCCCUUUGAAAAGAGGUUGAAUCUUCUGCUUGAUGGAACACAGCUGAAAUGAACAAAGUCCUGACUGCCAUGGACAUGACAGCGGCUGCAUUUAUAAAAUAAUUAUGAUAAAAUUGUAUCUUAAAUAGCAUCCUAUGCAGAAAACCAUGACUAAGUAGUUAUUUAUAAGGUCACACUUUGACGUGGAUAUGAUCGUAUCUCUACGUUAAUUUUACACUUGACGUAAGCUAAUUACCUGCUGGUUAUGUGGACGUACUGCGCGUUUCAUGGUUGUGCGCAAAUCCCUUAAUUAGGCUGUGUGUGCACUUUAGAAAUAACAUUUAACGGAUAAUCAGUUUUAUGCAUGAUGAGUGAAAGAAUCAUGAUCAAUGCCACGUGUGUUUCAAGGCAUGAUAAGACGUUCUAUCGUGUGCUACAUGAGAAAACAUAUUGACUCAUGGCUGCACUCACAUUAUUGGAGUUCAAAUUGAAGUUCAUUUGAAGUUCAUUGGUUUACACAUCACAGCGACCAGAUAUCAAGUGAUACAUAUUCACAGAUGGGGACGGGGAGAUUUCUUCUGCAGAUUUUGAGCAGGGUGCCUAUCCCAGCAUGCAUUGGGGGAGCAGCAGACACCCUGGACAGGUUUCCAAUCCAUUGCAGGGCACACACACACCUUUUUGCUCACCCCAUCAUACCAAUGGGAAAUUUAGACUCUCCAGUUAGUCGAACCUGCAUGUCUUUGGACAGUGGGAGGAAACGGGAGAUCCCGGGGGAGACCCACGCAGACACGGGGAGAACAUGCAAACUCCACACACAAGGCCCUGAACAGGAUUCAAACCUCGGCAACUUCUGCUGUUCACUGCACCGCAGUGCCACCGCAUUUGGACAUUCUAGUGAGAAAUGUUUUUCUGUGCCCCAUUAUGUAAUACAGUAAAAUACUGUGUUAUUUCCCUUAUUAAGUAUCAGAGUUAUUGAUGGUGAAUACAGUGCCAAUGUGUAUUGUUUGUCAUACAAAUGCUUAUUUGCUGAAAUUUUAUGCUCAUCCUGUCAAAAGCCAGUAUGCGGUAUUCUGAAAAUAUAAAUCUUUCUUGUAAUGUGAUUGAAUGCAAUUACUUAUGUUUUUACAAGUUUCAACUCUGGGUCAUAUCUGAUGCUAGUCAUGUUCAGGUGGUGUUCUCACAUAAAGAAAGGUUACAACUAAUGAACAAACAAAAAAAUUGAAUAGUUCCAGUAAUUACAAUAUUAAUGUGAUGGCAUUUUAACAUUUAUGUCUAAUUUGGUCAUCAGAAGUUGAGAGAAAAAGUUGAAGUAGAUUUCCAAAAGAUGCCUGGAUGUUUCUGUGACGCCAGACACUUUCCAGAAGCUUCCAUUUACUGCACAUCAGUAUUAGCAGUUUGUACCAUGUCCUAUUGUAACCGUUCAUUUCAGACCAUUAAAACAGAAGGCUCGUGGUACUGUAAUGGAAAUUGGCAUGUAUGCAUCCUGUCAUGCCAAUAUUGUGUGAGGAUUUAGCCUACUUGCCUGCUCACAUGGAGGAACCUGUUGAUUUUACAUGAUGUUCAAAUAACCUGGAAGUAGUUUUGACCCAUUUUAUUGGUACAGUGGAGCCCGGGCCCAUUAAAAAGCAAUAGCCCAGUGAGCAAAAGCCUGAAUCUAGAUGUCAGAAAUCCAAGUUGAGAUAACGGUUUGACAUAAACAGACUAUGUUAACCCCAGUACACCUCAGGUUUUACCUGGAUAUAGCCUGCCUAUUUCCUAGUUGGCUAGAAAAGUUUACAUUUUCAAUCAAAUGUAGCUGGGUUUUCACCUGAAUGCCUAGAUUCUGUUUCUCCAACUUUUCACUGCAGAAAUGUUCACUGGCAAGUGGGGUCUAGGAAGCAGGGUCAUUAAAAAUCAAAAAUGCAAAAAUGUCAUAUAGGUAUUCCUUCGGAUCAAACUAUUGCAUACCACUGCUAUAGUGCUGUGUCCCAUGAUUCAUCUGCUGUGACUCAUCUUUUUUGUGGUAAACCAGCCGCUAUUGUAUAUAUUUAGCAAGGGAAUGUACAGUUGGUUAGUGGGAAGGGGAAUGUGCUGCUGUCUUAGCUCCUGAAGCAUUUGGUCGCUGCUUGGCACAGAAGCGGCUCUUUUAUUCGUUUUUAUUUCAGAGCCUCUUGCUGUAUAAAGUUUCCAUUUCUGUCCCUUUCAUCGCUUAAGCGCAGUUUAUAGCCAGGAAAGAACUUUGGAUGUGCAGGCUCUCUCACACUCUGCUUUGACCUUGGGAAAAGCUGAACGUUUCCAGAACGUUCUUAAUGAUUCUGUGUUUGUAUGCAUUUGUGUGUGUGUGUAUAUGUGUGCGUGCGUGCGUGCGUGCGUGUGCAUGCGCGUGCGUGCAUGCAUGUGUUUUGUAUGGCUCAGUGAACACAUGGGGUUCAACAUUCCUAAAGCACUAGAGCUGAGAAUGGAAGAUAACUCUAUAGAACAUUUCUCUCAUUAACAGCAGUGUUACAGGAUAAAUACUCAGUGACGGGGUCCUUAACUGAGCAGACAUUUCCCACAGGGUCCAGAACCCCAGGGGUGGAAACAGAUUUUGCUACCCCAUAAUGACCAAUAUUUUAUCAUUAUUCAGGGAUCCCACUUGACUUCCAUGUUUGUGGUAGGAUUGGGAGGAGGGGUAGGGGGGUAGGUAUUUGGGACAGAAUGACAUCAGCAUAUUCAUAUUCUCCAGACAACAGUCCCCACUUCCUGUGUCAUUAAUACUGUAUUGCCCUCCAGUGUGAUUGCACAGGAUUUAAAACCGUUUUGAAGCCUCCUCUGAAAAAUGAGCACAUACUGUUCUCAGACAAUUGAAUAUCAAGCCUUGUGCUAAGCCUAGCAUGAUCUUGAACAGCACAACAGUGUCUGGGUCCGCCACCCAUACUCACUUAAUGCGAUUGUGAUUUCAGAUAGCCUACACACUGUCAGGGAAAGUUUUGGGAGCUGAUACAAGCAUUUCUUUUUUGAUCAAACACUUGCAGUUUUGGGGGAAAAUUUAUACAAAUCCAAGUGGACAUGCAGAGAAUAAAUAUUUGCAGAUUUAAAGCAUGAUUAGGGGGAGGGGUUCCCAUAACAACUGUAUGCUCUAAAAUGAUAUAGGAAGACCAAUUCAGUGAGCAAA